UCUCCGUUGGUGAACCAGCGGAGGGAUCAUUACUGAGUUACCGCUCUACAACCCUUUGUGAACAUACCUAACUGUUGCUUCGGCGGGCAGAGGUCCCUCGCGGAUCUCUCCCGGCAACGCCCUCACGGGCGGAGCGCCCGCCGGAGGAUACCAAACUCUAUUUUAACGACGUUUCUUCUGAGUGGCACAGGCAAAUAAUUAAAACUUUUAACAACGGAUCUCUUGGUUCUG
rnacentral:misc_RNA from 1 species